GCAAAGUGAGGCUUACCUAUGGUCUGUCUUUUGAGGCGAUCCAAGGUGAGGUCUGAAGUGCUUGAGUCCAGAGAAGGUGCUGAUCUCUUUCAGAGAAGAGGCUCCUGUUGAUUGAUACAGAUGUGGGGCAAAGGCAGACCCACAAGUGCAUGGGUCAAGAAGUACAAGAAAAGAAAGAUAUGUUCUGAUUCCAGGAGCAUAUAGCACCUUAUCCUGACCAGGGUGGUGAGAGAACACUAUCUGAGGCAGCUUGAAGAACUUCCUCACUGGGAACAGUUCCUUUCUGUUCUGGCAAGAUCCAAGUGACCAGGGUCCCAGAAAGCCCUUUUUUCGCAUUCAAAUUCAGUGGUCAGCCCUUGGCACUAACCGGCCUGUCCUAGCGUUAGCACAGUGCAUCACUGCGUCUUCUGUGAUGCUGUGUUCAGCUGCUUCUGGUGAUUCACUCUAGACUUUACAUCAUGUCCCAGUGGCUACUUCUGAGUCCUGCUUGCUGGGACUCCUGCCUGAGGACAUUUCUCUGGCAAUGCCCCGCGUCACAAACGUGUGAAAUGUUUGCCUGGGGAAAACACACAGAACGAAAUGUGAUGCCAGAGCUUACUGCUGUUUUGUCACACGAGUGUUUUCGACUAAGAUAAGCCAACUUCCCAGAUUCCCAGAGAGAUUAUUUCUUCUGCUGCCGAAAGAAUACCAGGAUGUAGCAGUGGAAAUAGAGAACUUCAACAGUAAACUUGGAUUGGGAAGUCCUAACCUGUAUCUACCUCACCAGUUUCUUCGUCGUAGUGUGUCCUGGCAUGCUGGGAGCUCACGUCUUCUGUAAACUCUUGGCAUCUUGGAGUGUGGAGCUUCGAUGAUCUGGGAGCUGGAUAUGGAUGAAGAACCUAGGGAGAGGGGACAGAAAAGGUGUCCCGACUUAAGAACAACCAAAGGGAAGUUCUUUCAGUCACUUGAGUAAAUAUCUCCAUUGAAGGAGUCCAAGAAAGAAGCUGACUGAAGGACAGUUGUCUCUGUUCAUGCAGUGGUCACAUGCUUUGGAGAUGAUUUGAAGUUGGUGAAACUGAGGCCCAGAGACAGAUACAAUUUUCCUAAGUCAUUGUGACUAUUCCAGCAGCACAUUGGCCAGACAAGCUUUUUAUAGUAGGAGCACAGCUCUGUAAUGAGAACCAACUGGAAAAGAACUACACAAAAACUUGCUGCUGUGCCAAGCUCACCUUAUCAUGCUUAUUA
rnacentral:sRNA from 1 species